rnacentral:antisense_RNA from 1 species
UGUUUUAUACAUUUACUUGCCUGAAAUGGGUAUUUCUUACUUCUUUUAACAAAAAAUGCCUUGUUCCCUGCCGGCAAAAGCACGAAGCACACAGAGAACAUGUGUGACUGAAAGGGUAAAUUCAAACGGGAGAUAAUACGGAACUGGCGAAGAGAAACACUUGAAUGGUGCGUCCGAGUGGACUCGAACCACCGACCCCCACCA